rnacentral:rRNA from 1 species
AUUGAACGCUGGCGGCAUGCCUUACACAUGCAAGUCGAACGGUAACAGGUCUUCGGAUGCUGACGAGUGGCGAACGGGUGAGUAAUACAUCGGAACGUGCCUAGUAGUGGGGGAUAACUACUCGAAAGAGUGGCUAAUACCGCAUGAGAUCUACGGAUGAAAGCAGGGGAUCGCAAGACCUUGUGCUACUAGAGCGGCCGAUGGCAGAUUAGGUAGUUGGUGGGAUAAAAGCUUACCAAGCCGACGCUCUGUAGCUGGCAUGAGAGGACGAUCAGCCCCACUGGGACUGAGACACGGCCCAGACUCCUACGGGAGGCAGCAGUGGGGAAUUUUGGACAAUGGGCGCAAGCCUGAUCCAGCAAUGCCGCGUGCAGGAUGAAGGCCUUCGGGUUGUAAACUGCUUUUGUACGGAACGAGAAGCCCUGGGUUAAUACCCUGGGGUCAUGACGGUACCGUAAGAAUAAGCACCGGCUAACUACGUGCCAGCCGCCGCGGUAAAAC